rnacentral:misc_RNA from 1 species
AAUUUAAUGGUUACCUUGUUCAUACAACAGAUUUCUGUUGGGUCGGACUUAACGAAUAAACUAUAAAAUCAAACCAAAUACGAUGGUGAUUUAUGACAGAAAUGUUCUUGUUGUAAGGCAUUUGCCUCAAGAACUGACAAAAGAGGCCAAAAUCGACCUUCUCAAAUUUUUAGGAGCUUCAGAGGUCAAAUGUCUUAGUUCAGAAAAUAAGAAAUCGAGCUUGGUGUUCGCGAAGUUCGACAAAGAAGGACAUGCCGAAGCCGUUCUCAAAAUGCUUCAUCAAAAAGAUUUAUUAGGGCAAUUGAUAUCUGUCGAAUUUGCAAGAGGGAAAGAGGUGGUCGGCGAUGGCCAAACGAUAAAGGAAAGCGAUGGUAUUGAGAAAAACGAUGAGAAAACUAUGCAGAGAAAAUUGUUGGAAAGUUUCCAGACGAAGUUGAAUUCAUGGAUAAACACUGUCGAUUUGACGUUGCCACCUCCUGUUCACCUGAGAUAUUCUUAUCCCCCUCCACAAUUAUACGUUAUGAAGAAUAUUUGCAAAGCGUUAUCCAAGGUGCCAAAGUUUUACACACAAGUUCUUCAUUUAAUGAAUAAAAUGAACCUACCGUGCCCUUUUGUCGAAAACUAUGUUAUUCAAGAUGAUACAAUGGAUCUGAUUGGAAAUGAGAUUCAGCCUGAAAGCUCAGAAGAAUCUGAACUUGAAAGUGAUGGGGAUGACCAAACCGCCAACACUGUCAACAUACAGAAACCAACCAGUCUUCACAAUAAACCGAAAAUCAAACGGCCGAGGAAGUUGAUCACUCCCGUAAUGCCGAAAAAAUCUAAAUUCGAUCCGAAAAUAACACCGGAUCAAGUUUUUGACAUUGUAAGCAUGUCGAAGAAGAACAUCAAACUGCACAUUCCUGCCAAUAUAUCUUCAGGAAAUGAAAAUGAGAUUGGCAAUGUUGAAAUGAAAGAAGAUGAAAAUAAACUCUCUGAAACGGUUGAAACAGAAGUUACAGAUAUUCACAAAGAAACAGAUUUAAAUAGAGUAAUUACCGAAGAAGAACUAGCAAUCAAUCGUGUUCCAGCUAAAGAUUUCCAUCUUCUGCCUGUUUUUAAAAAUUAUCAACCAGGAUUACCGUCGUCUCGGCUAUACUUGAAAAACCUAGCAAAGACUGUUCAAGAGUCAGAUUUGAAUUUUAUUUUUAAAAGAUACGUUACAGACGAUCAAGAAAUACAAGAAAGCCUGUUUGACAUUAAACUAAUGCAAGAAGGAAGAAUGAAAGGGCAAGCUUUCAUCAUGCUACAAAGCACAGCCUUAGCAGAGAAAGCUUUAAAGGAAACAAACGGUUUUAUGCUUAAAGGAAAGCCUAUCGUAGUGCAAUAUGCAAAAUCACAAAAACCAAAAUGAAUUAUUGAACAGAAGAAAACAAAACAUUGAGAGCGUCUAUAGACACAAUGAUUAUACUAUACUGUAUAAUAAUAUUUUAUUAAAUGGAAAUGAAAAACUUUUAUACAUUAAAUGUAUAAAAAUUGCAUUGCAAAAAUUUGAUCGACUCGGUCAUCCCGGUUUGCACAUUUUUGCUGGAUUUAACUAUACCAGGCACCGGUAAAAGCCAAUAUUAAUGGAAUAGCCAUUCUAACAAACCUAACGGGAAGUUUAUGCAUAUACAAUAUGCUACUUAUAGACCACGGAAGUACAGAAAAAAGGAAAGAACCUGAGUAUGAGCUUUAAGCUUCAGAUUGUUGAAAACAACAAACUGUGAGUGAGAUCCAACUUUAAAAAAGAAAAAAGGCUAGUUUUAUUUAAUCGAGAAUAACUAAUGUCCAAAAUGGUUAUAAUUGUCCUCUAAAGAUUCCACAUCCAGAUGAAUUUUUGGUUUAAAAUUUUUGUUGGCUUUCAAAAAUAAUAUUGCAUGUUUUGAAAUGACCUUGUUGAGGCUGAAACUGAAUACAACCACCUGCUAUUUUUAAUAAAUGAAAUUAUAUUUUCAAGCUGUUUU